rnacentral:rRNA from 1 species
GAUGAACGCUGGCGGCGUGCCUAAUACAUGCAAGUCGAGCGAACAGAUGAGGAGCUUGCUCCUCUGACGUUAGCGGCGGACGGGUGAGUAACACGUGGAUAACCUACCUAUAAGACUGGGAUAACUUCGGGAAACCGGAGCUAAUACCGGAUAAUAUAUUGAACCGCAUGGUUCAAUAGUGAAAGACGGUUUUGCUGUCACUUAUAGAUGGAUCCGCGCCGCAUUAGCUAGUUGGUAAGGUAACGGCUUACCAAGGCAACGAUGCGUAGCCGACCUGAGAGGGUGAUCGGCCACACUGGAACUGAGACACGGGCCAGACUCCUACGGGAGGCAGCAGUAGGGAAUCUUCCGCAAUGGGCGAAAGCCUGACGGAGCAACGCCGCGUGAGUGAUGAAGGUCUUCGGAUCGUAAAACUCUGUUAUUAGGGAAGAACAAAUGUGUAAGUAACUAUGCACGUCUUGACGGUACCUAAUCAGAAAGCCACGGCUAACUACGU